GUCUACGGCCAUGCCACCCUGAACAAGCCUGAUCCUGUCUGAUCUUGGAAGCUAAGCAGUGUCAGGCCUGGUUAGUACUUGGAUGGGAGACCACCUAGGAAGACCAGGUGCUGUAGGCA
rnacentral:rRNA from 1 species